CAGUUUCUAAAUCCUUGAAUCAGUUUCAUCAAAUCUACAGAACAAAUAUUCGUGCGAGAUGAACUCUGUACUCUCAAGGCUCCUCAGCAGUUGUCAAUAUCAUAUUUUCCUCCACUGCAACAUCAUCAGUUUUGGCCAAAAAACCAUUGUCUGCAUUUAGUUCACAAUACAAGACACCCUUUGCCUGCAUAUCCUCUGAUUGUUUGAGCUCACUAUUAUGGAUUGCAGUGUUAGCUUCCUCUUGAGACUGUGAAACAUGACUUCCAUCCAUCUGCUUUCUUCUUGAUAAUCUGUCUUCAGAUGAUGUUGGUAGAAUGGGUUCUUGGGCCACAAGUGAGUCAUCAACUCUCACCUUAAAUAAAAAAAUUUAAUAAUCGAUGCUGCAAUUUCAGAAAAAGAAGCCAAUUUAAUAUUUUUUUUUUCCCUCUCCGAUAUGGAGUAAAUAACUAUAAUCCUUUAGACGCAGAUUAAGGAUCUCUAUUUUCAUAAUAUAAUUAUAUAAUUCAUCUUUUCCAAUUUUCGUAAACAAAACGAAAAAUUCUAAAUCAAUCGUCAUAGGGUGCAUUUGUUUUCAAAAAAACAAUAUAUAUUUUAUAUCCUUUAAUAUUUAUGAUACCGAAAAAGAUUAGUAAAAUCUUCAGUGAUGAUGUGCUUCUUUAAAAGUAAAAAAUUUAUAGUGAUCCACGUGAUUGUUUUUAAGCUAAUCAAGUACUUUGAUUUAAAUUCAAAUUUUACAAAAACAAAGCAAAGUCACGAGAGUAAACAAGUAUAGAAUGAUGCUGAAGAAAUUAUAAGAUCCAAGUUAGAACCGGUGGAUAUAUUUAAUAAUUUAUGAUAAAUUACAUUGAAAAAAUUAUAAUUUUUCCCUUAAUAUUUUUGGUAGCUUUCUUAGCCAAAAUUGAUGGAGUUAUGACAUCCUUAUUUCACAUUUUCAGGACUCCAUCACAUAACGAAAUAAGCCUUGGGGUAUAAAAGAGAGAUAGAAAAAGGUGGUGGAGAUUGAUGAGAUGCUACGGUGCGGAUGGUAUUGUAUUGUGGUGUGCAGUGAAAUUUAAAGACAAAGCAUUUUUUGUUUCAAAGAUUGAUUGGAAUAAUUCAAUUUUAGAGAGAAGCAUUAAAGUAUUAAAGAAAAUAAUCUACCAAUCUCAAUUCUCAAAAAUUGUAUACACUCAAAAAAAAAUCUCAAAAAUUUUAUAUCAAAUCAAUAGGGAGCAAACGGUCAGUUCAAUUCAAAUCGAACCGAACUAAGGCUAAAAAUAUCAAACCAAACUUUUCUAACCAUAAUUAAACUGAAUUGAAACUGUCAUUUGAAUUGAACCGAACCAAACCAGUGGUUUGGUCAUUUUUAAUCAGUUUUUAUUAUUUCAAGUCGGUUUUAAGCCUAGCCAAUUAGUUUAUACAAAAUCGAGCCAGACCACCGAUAACUUUAGUUCAAUCUGACUAAGCUGAUAAAACCAAAUCCUCUUUGAGCAGGCUGAUCGAACCGAAUCGAAAUGAGUCAGUUUAAUUCAAUUGGAUUUUUUGGCGCACCCCUACAAAUCAAUUAGAACUAAUUGAACCCAAUUAGAAAUCUUAACAUUAAAAAUUUUUAUUUUAAAAAUAUUUAAUUAUUUUUAGUUAUAUUUUACUUAAAUCAAUUAUUUUUGAUAAAAAAAUUGAGCCUUUGCUUUUAUGGUAAAAUUCAGGAUGUAAAUCGUAAAAAAAAAUUGAUUUUUUUUUUAUUUCAAACCAUUAUUUCUAGACGUAACUUAAAUUAUCUCAUCAGUUUAAAAUAUCAGUAUAUUGUAAGUAUAUUAUAACCAAAAAAUUAUACAAAAUAAAUGACAAUUAUAAAUAUAAAUACAAACAAUGUGCAAUGCUGGUUAAAACAGCUUCCUCUUGAGACUGUGAAACAUGACUUCCAUCCAUCUGCUUUCUUCUUGAUAAUUUGUCUACAGAUGAUGUUGGUGGAAUAGGUUCUUGGGCCACAAGUGAGUCAUCAACUCUCAC
rnacentral:lncRNA from 1 species